rnacentral:misc_RNA from 1 species
UUGAUUUUAAAAGAUGUGCUGGCUUUCAAAGGCAUGUGCACUCUUAAAAAAACCAAUAUCCACCUGUGCACAAUUUGUAGAUGAGGGGCAACCCUUGCCUAUGUCUUUUACAAACAACCAUUGAUUUAUUUGAAUGUAAUUGUAUAACCAAUUAAAA